rnacentral:rRNA from 1 species
GAUCGCUGUGAUGUGGGCGGUUCGCCGCCUGCGACUCUGUGAGAAGUCCAUUGAACCUUAUCAUUUAGAGGAAGGAGAAGUCGUAACAAGGUUUCCGUAGGUGAACCUGCGGAAGGAUCAUUGUCGAGAUCGAAGCACAUCGAGCGAACUCGUGAACCCGUCAGAAUUGGCAGUGUUUAUUGCCGCCGUGAAAGAAUCUAUCAUUGUCAUUGACUGAUCCCCUCCGGGGUGCAGAUGCAAUGAGGGAUGGAUGAACACUCAAACCGACGCAACACUGCGUCAAGUGAUUAGCGAAACAUAAGGCCAUAAAUGUGCUUGGUGGCAUGGGGUGCUGUUGCACCCCAUAUGAAUUUACAUGACUCUCGACAAUGGAUAUCUCGGCUCUCGCAUCGAUGAAGAGCGCAGCGAAAUGCGAUACGUGGUGCGAAUUGCAGAAUCCCGCGAACCAUUGAGUCUUUGAACGCAAGUUGCGCCCGAGGCCAACCAGCUAAGGGCACGUCCGCCUGGGCGUCAAGUAUAAUGUCGCUCCAUGUCAACUCCAUCCCGUUAAUGGGAGGACUGGCGAAGGCAUGGAUGUGCAGAGUGGCUCAUCGUACCCCUCGGUGCGGCGGGCUGAAGAGCGGGCCAUCUUCUCGUGGCACGAGUAAUAUGGGGUGGAUUUUAGCAAGGCAUAUGUUAUUGUGUCGUGUAUGCUCAAGAGAAGAUUAUCCUGCCUAAGGUUAUCCCAAAUCAUGUGUUUGGAAUGCGACCCCAGGAUGGGCGAGGCCACCCGCCGAGUUUAAGCAUAUCAAUAAGCGGAGGAGAAGAAA